rnacentral:rRNA from 1 species
CCUACGGGAGGCAGCAGUAGGGAAUCUUCCGCAAUGGACGAAAGUNUGACGGAGCAACGCCGCGUGAGCGAAGAAGGCCUUCGGGUCGUAAAGCUCUGUUGUUAGGGAAGAACAAGUAUCGGAGUAACUGCCGGUACCUUGACGGUACCUAACCAGAAAGCCACGGCUAACUACGUGCCAGCAGCCGCGGUAAUACGUAGGUGGCAAGCGUUGUCCGGAAUUAUUGGGCGUAAAGCGCGCGCAGGCGGUCCUUUAAGUCUGAUGUGAAAGCCCACGGCUCAACCGUGGAGGGUCAUUGGAAACUGGGGGACUUGGGUGCAGAAGAGGAGAGUGGAAUUCCACGUGUAGCGGUGAAAUGCGUAGAGAUGUGGAGGAACACCAGUGGCGAAGGCGACUCUCUGGUCUGUAACUGACGCUGAGGCGCGAAAGCGUGGGGAGCGAACAGGAUUAGAUACCCUGGUAGUCCACGCCGUAAACGAUGAGUGCUAAGUGUUAGAGGGUUUCCGCCCUUUAGUGCUGCAGCAAACGCAUUAAGCACUCCGCCUGGGGAGUACGGCCGCAAGGCUGAAACUCAAAUGAAUUGACGGGG